rnacentral:rRNA from 1 species
GACGAACGCUGGCGGCGUGCUUAACACAUGCAAGUCGAACGGUAAGGCCCUUCGGGGUACACGAGUGGCGAACGGGUGAGUAACACGUGGGUGAUCUGCCCUGCACUUCGGGAUAAGCCUGGGAAACUGGGUCUAAUACCGGAUAGGACCACUGCCUGCAUGGGUGGUGGUGGAAAGCUUUUGCGGUGGGGGAUGGGCCCGCGGCCUAUCAGGUUGUGGGUGGGGUGAUGGCCCACCAAGGCGACGACGGGUAGCCGGCCUGAGGGGGUGACCGGACAGACUGGGACUGGGGUACGGCCCAGACUCGUACGGGAGGCAGCAGAGGGGAAGAUUGCACAAUGGGCGCAAGCCUGAUGCAGCGACGCCGCGUGAGGGAUGACGGCCUUCGGGUUGUAAACCUCUUUCAGCACCGACGAAGCGCAAGUGACGGUAGGUGCAGAAGAAGGACCGGCCAACUACGUGCCAGCCGCCGCGGUAA